rnacentral:rRNA from 1 species
CCUACGGGGGGCUGCAGUGGGGAAUAUUGCGCAAUGGGCGAAAGCCUGACGCAGCGACGCCGCGUGAGGGAUGAAGGUCUUCGGAUCGUAAACCUCUGUCAGCAGGGAAGAACGGUCACUGUGCUAACUAGCAGUGAAUUGACGGUACCUGCAAAGGAAGCACCGGCUAACUCCGUGCCAGCAGCCGCGGUAAUACGGAGGGUGCGAGCGUUAAUCGGAAUUACUGGGCGUAAAGCGCUCGUAGGCGGUAUGUCAAGUCUAGGGUGAAAUCCCCGCGCUCAACGGGGGACGGGCCUUUGAAACUGGCAAACGUGAGUGUGUGAGAGGAUAGUGGAAUUCCAGGUGUAGGAGUGAAAUCCGGAGAUAUAUGGAGGAACAUCAGUGGCGAAGGCGACUAUCUGGCACAUAACUGACGCUGAGGAGCGAAAGUGUGGGUAGCAAACAGGAUUAGAUACCCCAGUAGUC